AUACGAAGGGUGCAAGCGUUAAUCGGAAUUACUGGGCGUAAAGCGUGCGUAGGUGGUUCUUCAAGUCUGUCGUGAAAGCCCUGGGCCCAACCUGGGAAUUGCGAUGGAAACUGGAUGGCUAGAGUGUGGUAGAGGAUGGCGGAAUUCCCGGUGUAGCGGUGAAAUGCGUAGAGAUCGGGAGGAACAUCCGUGGCGAAGGCGGCCAUCUGGACCAACACUGACACUGAGGCACGAAAGCGUGGGGAGCAAACAGGAUUAGAUACCCUGGUAGUCCACGCCCUAAACGAUGCGAACUGGAUGUUGGUCUCAACUCGGAGAUCAGUGUCGAAGCUAACGCGUUAAGUGCGCCGCCUGGGGAGUACGGUCGCAAGACUGAA
rnacentral:rRNA from 1 species